CUCUGCUUUCUGCUCUUCAUUUAUCUCAUCCUUCUUUUCCAUGCUCUUUUUCCUCUAGCACUGCACAGAAAGCUUGUUAAUAUUUUGUUCAGCUACCAGCUAACAGAAUGAGGUUGCAAAUAAGGGAAAUACUUCUGAAGUAGCUGUAUCCUUAAAAAUAUAUGCCUAUAUACUUCAGAUGCUGAGCUUUGGUAUAACAUGUGUAAAAUAUAUUUGCAGAUCAUUUAGUUCAAGCCAUGGUGUGAAAGUCACAUUUCUGAGUAAAACCAAACAUCUGAGACCUUCCGAGUGAGACUUCGCAGGCAAAUUACAAUAGGUCAUCUGUGCUGUAGCCAAAAUAUACUGAGGAAAACGACUGGAGAAUGACACAUUAACAAGGAAAAGGGCACACUUCAGAUGAUGCAUGAAACUGAGG